CCCAGAUUAACCCCAGCUCCAGUUGACUCACCUAUGACCAGCUGUGGGCCAAAACUACCACGGCGCCUGAGGAAGGUGAACUCACACACAUCCCCCACCCGCGCUGACCUUCUCUGCUUGUUUACCUCAGAGACCCCGCCUUGGGAACAGACACACACACCCCACACCAGACUGGACCGGUCCAACCUACCAGAGAGAACAAGCUUCACUUUUCAACUCUGAACUUUGAACCUCCCAACCAAUAGAGUUCAACUGAAGGAAAAGGGAACAAACAGAACUCUCCAAAAAAACUCCCAGAAUUCCCUAGGACCACCCACUAUCCGUGUCUCUCUCUCUUUCACUCUCUUCCACUCCGCUGCCAAAUCCCGAACAACCAAACUGGAUUUUUCUAAACAAUAAAAAUGUUGAAAUAAAGUGUUAAA